rnacentral:tRNA from 1 species
GACCCCGGAUAGCGCAUAAAUGCUUGCGGUGUGUGCUCUUGGCAGGCCUUUCACGCCGGCAACACGGGUUCAAAUCCCGUCGGGGACGCCA